rnacentral:rRNA from 1 species
UACAGAGGGUGCGAGCGUUAAUCGGAAUUACUGGGCGUAAAGCGUGCGUAGACGGUUAUUUAAGUCGGGUGUGAAAGCCCCGGGCUCAACCUGGGAAUUGCAUUCGAGACUGAAUAGCUAGGGUACGGUAGAGGGAAGUGGAAUUUCCGGUGUAGCGGUGAAAUGCGUAGAUAUCGGGAGGAACACCAGUGGCGAAGGCGGCUUCCUGGACCAGAGCUGACACUGAGGCGCGAAAGCGUGGGGAGCGAUCCGG